rnacentral:rRNA from 1 species
UACGUAGGGUGCGAGCGUUGUCCGGAAUUAUUGGGCGUAAAGAGCUCGUAGGCGGUGUGUCGCGUCGGCCGUGAAAACCUGGGGCUUAACUCUGGGCGUGCGGUCGAUACGGGCAUCACUGGAGUUCGGCAGGGGGAGACUGGAAUUCCUGGUGUAGCGGUGAAAUGCGCAGAUAUCAGGAGGAACACCGAUGGCGAAGGCAGGUCUCUGGGCAUUAACUGACGCUGAGGAGCGAAAGCAUGGGGGAGCGAACAGG